UACGGAGGGUGCGAGCGUUGUCCGGAAUCACUGGGCGUAAAGGGCGCGUAGGUGGCGCGGGCAGUCAACGGUGAAAGUUCGGGGCUCAACCCUGAAUCGGCCGUCGAUACUCCCGGGCUUGAGCACUGUAGAGGCAGAUGGAAUUCCGGGUGUAGCGGUGGAAUGCGUAGAGAUCCGGAAGAACACCGGUGGCGAAGGCGGUCUACUGGGCAGUAGCUGACACUGAGGCGCGACAGCGUGGGGAGCAAACAGG
rnacentral:rRNA from 1 species